AUCCAGGAUGGCAGGAUGCAGUUCUGAAAAAAAUUAUAGGCUUUCAUCCAGAUUAUUAUGGGCUUAACGUUUUCUGUAUUUCUUUGCUUCAUCUUAGUACCUGUGGGAUCUGCAAUAUCCCCUUUCUCAUUCCUUAUCAUGCAUAAAAUGAAACUCUGCUCUCUAUCUUCUACCAUACACAAGCUCUGCACCAAAUGUGUCAUAGACCAGAUACCCUGAAAAUGCCAAAGAACACAGUAGAGAAAAUACUCCCACUGCUAAGCACAGCAGCAUAAUCUGGAAGAAGAGAAGUUAUACAGUUGCCCAUCAGGGAUGCCCCUUUGCUGUCUCAGUCUGGAUGCCUGUGGCAACAGUUGCAGUAGGAACAGCCCACCUGGAAGUCUUCCUGUCAACAUCAUUGGAUCCUGGGAACCCACAAUUUCCUGCUUUUCACCAAGUUCUGGAUAGCCAUCUCAGGAGUCAGAUCUCUUCCAGAGGAGCUUCACAAGAGUCAAUCAGUCAUUUGAAAGAACUUUCUCAAUAUAAUCUGAGAUCUGCUGUGGUAAAAGAGCAGCAUCAUCUACCUCCUCCUGUUUUUAGUCUUGCACAGAAUCACUCUGCACCAGAGAUAUGGGGCCCCUGAUGCAGGCUCCAUCCACUCCACCUAGUCAAUGAGGGUCCUCCCAACAUUGCUUAUCUCGACCAUCAAGAGGGAUUCCUCAUCUCACCUCCACCCCAGGACAGUCUUCUUAAUUCUGCAUUUCAUAAGACAGUCUUAAUACGUGUUGUCAACAUAGAAGAUAUCUAGCAAAUCUGUUCCAGUCUGACAGUGAGUGAUACUGGAGCAGGAUCUUGAACCUAUGAGAGCCCUGCAUGGAUGUGUGGCAGCCUAAGACAGUUAGCAUGCCUGUCCCAACAGAUUUCAAGAAACUUUUGGUUGGGAGUGAUCCAGUCCACCUAGGACAGCACACAUGGCUGGGAGGACAAGGUCAGUUGCAGGGACUGGAGAGAUGGCUCAUCCAUGAAGAGCACUCAUUGCUGUCUCAGAAGACCCACAGGACAGCUAACAAACCUCUUUAACCUAAAUUCCAGGUGGAAUCUGCCCUCACCUGGACUCUGUGGGAAUUGCAUGUACAUGGUGGCCAAACACCCUUAAGUAUGAAGAAAAGCACCACAAAAUAUCCCAACAUGUCUUGCAGGAAAUUAUCUCUUCUUCUCAGUUAUCAUUCAUGUUAUAUGUCAGGAAAACUAGAGGCAGAUUGCUUUUCAUUUUCUGAUUUGUUUUAUACAAUUUUAAUGAAUAUUCUUAUUUCAGAGAGGCCUGGAGCAAAUACUUGUUUUUCCCUUUAAUUUGGUGUACAUGAUGAUUUCGUGAACAUGUGUGUAUAGUGCACCACACUUUACUGGCCGCUAAAUAUAUGAUGUCAAAGAUACAUUAUGUCUAGUUUUUCUAUUAUGUAGUGGGUAUCCAUGGAGUAGGCUAUUCCAUCUGCAUACAAGGUGCCAUCCCCCUGUAUAGCCCUGAGACCUAUGACUGAGAAAUCUUUGUGCAGCCCGAGAUUCCUGGAACUGGCUGAGAUACAUCCAAGCCUGUCAGUUCAGGGUUUACAGCAGUGUGAAACCUCACCUGACUAAAGAAGACUCUCAGAGUGAAGCUGAAAUUGGAUUUUAUUCAUAAAAAUACAUUCAUUUUACUCAAUGGGGUCUUUCAAAACAGUAGUCAUUAUAUACAAUGUAUAGCCUUAGGAAACUAUUAAAACACAAUAACAAAAAUUAACAAAACCUUAAACUAAAAUGAAGAAAACCAAAAUCUAAAGCAUAAAUAUCCCAACAUAUAAACAAAAAAAAUUAAGCAAAUUUCAGGAUCCUUUGGAAUUUCAUUAUGGAAGAGCAAAUGAGGUGAGGACCUAGCUUACUCUCUGAAGUGAAUUAUCUUCAGCAACACUAGCAUAUGACAUGGCAUCAGCUUCAGCACUGCACGAGAGAAUCUUAUGCUUUGGGUGUGGUCUGUCU